CCCCUGGCAAUGGUUUGCAGCCAGCCCAGCAGCAGGACCCAGGCCUGGUUGCACCCUCGUUAGCAGGUCAUUUGGCAGUUGGGUGAAAGGAGAUAAAACCCAGCUGUGGAAAGGAGACUGGUGGUUUGAUUGGGUGUUUCUGGUCUUUGUUCUGUCUGGGUUGGUUUGUAGUCUGUUUGGGGUCCAGUAGUGCUGCUGCAGAUGGAUGCCUGUGCCUGAGGAGGUGGUGGGCUGUGUUGCAGCAUCCUUAAGCUGUGCCACCUGCUUGCACCCAGAGCUGUGACAGCACCAUGGGCUCAUCUCUCAGUCCUCUCACCUUUCCCUUCCCUGGUUCAGCUCAACCUUUCCUCCUGACGUGCAGACAGUUCUCACCUCCUUGACGUGGGUGAUGAAGACCACGCCAACCUCUCCUUGCUGCGACUCCGCAGAGAUGGAGAACCGCAUCAUUCCCAGCGGCACGGCUUCUGGCACCAGAUCUAAAUCGGGUUUGCUCUUGCUGCUCAGAACAAUUAAAGCACUUCUUCCCCCCAUCUCCACGCCUGCUUUGGAGCAAGAAGAGAAGCAAGUAUGGAGAUGCAGCCCGGGACGGCAGCACCCCCCAGCAGACAAUCUGGUGAGGUGGUGAACCUCACUCCCCGCAGCUCCGCGACGAGAAGGGGAGAAACUUUUCCAUUCCAUCUGCUCCCAGCCUUCUCGACUAGGUACCCGCUUUCCACGCCGAGAGCAGAUGUUCCUGCUGGAAAUAGGCUUCUCUUCUGAAGUUGGAGCCAUCACUUUGCAUUAGAGCCUGCAAGCCUGCUUUCUGCCGUAUAGUGCUUUCCCUGCUGACAGGGUGUGAGGCACAAAACAUUUUAAAUUAAGAUCUUUACAAUUGUGAACAUGCUGCAAUAAAUAUUAAUGUUAACUUGUUAAAUGGCGAAUCAGCAAUUUAUAUAAUGGCUGGGGAUGCCUCUCCUUAAGUGACACGGGGUGGCUGGGUGUUGCUCUGUGUUUCCCAGGCUCGGCUCACCACUGCCUGGGUGUCACCUGCUCCCCCCCUGCCUCGAGGACGUGGUCCCUGGUGAUGCCACACCACAUUUGCCACCCUGGGGACUGCAGCACAAGUGGUUUGCAGUGAGGCUUUGAAGCCCAAACUACUCCAGCCGCUCCAGCAGGAUGCCAGGCAUGCUGGGCAUUUCUCUGUAUGAACUAUCUGUGCAUGUUUGACACCCCUGCAAAGCCCAUUUCAGUCCAGCGCUCCAGGUGUGUUUGCAGCCUAGAUUACUUCUUCCUUUGUUCAAUUGUCUAGAAGGGAGAGACAAGACCCUUGUAUACCUCACUGCUGGGAGUGGUGGAUGAGCAUUGGUAGAGUUGUCUUGAUUGUUGAAUAAAAGGCACCUCACAAGUGCAACCUGUUGUUAUCAA